CCAAUAGCGUAUAUUAAAGUUGUUGCAGUUAAAAAGCUCGUAGUUGAAUUUCGGGACCAUCAUGUCGGUCGUGCCUCGGUACGUACUGGCAUUGUUGGUUUCUCCCUUCUGACGAACCAUGAUGUCCUUUAUUUGGUGUUGUGGGGAAUCAGGACUGUUACUUUGAAAAAAUUAGAGUGUUUAAAGCAGGCUCACGCUUGAAUACAUUAGCAUGGAAUAAUGAAAUAGGACGUUUGAUUCUAUUUUGUUGGUUUCUAGGAUCGACGUAAUGAUUAAUAGGGAUAUUUGGGGGCAUUAGUAUUCAAUUGUCAGAGGUGAAAUUCUUGGAUUUAUUGAAGACUAACUACUGCGAAAGCAUUUGCCAAGGAUGUUUUCAUUAAUCAAGAACGAAAGUUAGGGGAUCGAAGACGAUCAGAUACCGUCGUAGUCUUAACCAUAAACUAUGCCGACUAGGGAUCGGAUGAUGUUAAUUUUUUAAUGACUCAUUCGGCGCCUUACG
rnacentral:misc_RNA from 1 species